rnacentral:rRNA from 1 species
AUUUGAUGGUUUCUUACUACUUGGAUAACCGUAGUAAUUCUAGAGCUAAUACAUGCGUAAAACCUGAACUCUUGCGGGAACGGGUGUAUUUAUUAGAUAAAAAACCAAUGCGCCUCUGGCGGUUGUUUGGUGAUUCAUAAUAACUUUUCGAAUCGCACGGUCUUGUACUGGCGAUAGUUCAUUCAAAUUUCUGCCCUAUCAGCUUUCGACGGUAGUGUAGUGGACUACCGUGGCGUUAACGGGUGACGGAGAAUUAGGGUUCGAUUCCGGAGAGGGAGCCUGAGAAACGGCUACCACAUCUAAGGAAGGCAGCAGGCGCGCAAAUUACCCAAUCCUGACACAGUGAGGUAGUGACUAGAAAUAACCAUACCGGGCUUUUAUGGUCUGGUAAUGGGAAUGAGUGUAAUUUAAAUCCCUAUGCGAGGAUCCACUGGAGGGCAAGUCUGGUGCCAGCAGCCGCGGUAAUUCCAGCUCAGUAGCGUAUAUUAAAGUUGUUGCAGUUAAAAAGCUCGUAGUUGGAUUUCUGGUUGACCGCGUAUGGUCCGGUGCCCUCAGGGUGCUGUGUACCGUCGUGCGUUUACCAUCCUUCCAGAAAGUUGUGCCUACCGGCUUGUCCGGCAGGGCGCUGCGAUCUGGAUCUUUUACUUUGAAAAAAUUAGAGUGUUCCAAGCAAGCUUACGCUUUGAAUACAUUAGCAUGGAAUAAUAAUAUAGGACUUUUGUCUUAUUUUGUUGGUUUCUAAGAUGGAAGUAAUGAUUGAUAGGGAUAGUUGGGGGUGCUAGUAUUCAGCGGCCAGAGGUGAAAUUCUUGGAUUCGCUGAAGACUAACUACUGCGAAAGCAUUCACCAAGGAUGUCUUCUUUAAUCAAGAACGAAAGUUGGGGGAUCGAAGACGAUCAGAUACCGUCGUAGUCUCAACCAUAAACUAUACCGACUAAGGAUCCGUGGACGUCUAUUUUUUUGACUCCAUGGGCACUUUAUGAGAAAUCAAAGUCUUUGGGUUCCGGGGGGAGUAUGGUCGCAAGGCUGAAACUUAAAGGAAUUGACGGAAGGGCACCACCAGGAGUGGAGCUUGCGGCUUAAUUUGACCCAACACGGGAAAACUUACCAGGUCCAGACAUAGUAAGGAUUGACAGAUUGAAGAUCUUUCUUGAUUCUAUGGGUGGUGGUGCAAGGCCGUUCUUAGUUGGUGGAGUGAUUUGUCUGGUUAAUUCCGUUAACGAACGAGACCGCGACCUGCUAAAUAGGGGGCCUCAUCC